GACGAACGCUGGCGGCGUGCUUAACACAUGCAAGUCGAACGCUGAAGCUUGGUGCUUGCCCUGGGUGGAUGAGUGGCGAACGGGUGAGUAAUAAGUGAGUAACCUGCCCUUGACUCUGGGAUAAGCCUGGGAAACUGGGUCUAAUACUGGAUACGACAUGUCACCGCAUGGUGGUGUGUGGAAAGGGUUUUACUGGUUUUGGAUGGGCUCACGGCCUAUCAGCUUGUUGGUGGGGUAAUGGCUCACCAAGGCGACGACGGGUAGCCGGCCUGAGAGGGUGACCGGCCGCACUGGGACUGAGACACGGCCCAGACUCCUACGGGAGGCAGCAGUGGGGAAUAUUGCACAAUGGGCGGAAGCCUGAUGCAGCGACGCCGCGUGAGGGAUGACGGCCUUCGGGUUGUAAACCUCUUUCAGCACGGAAGAAGCGAAAGUGACGGUACGUGCAGAAGAAGCGCCGGCUAACUACGUG
rnacentral:rRNA from 1 species